UGAGGAAUAUUGGACAAUGGGCGCAAGCCUGAUCCAGCCAUGCCGCGUGCAGGAUGACGGUCCUAUGGAUUGUAAACUGCUUUUGUACAGGAAGAAACAGUUCUACGUGUAGAACCUUGACGGUACUGUAAGAAUAAGGAUCGGCUAACUCCGUGCCAGCAGCCGCGGUAAUACGGAGGAUCCAAGCGUUAUCCGGAAUCAUUGGGUUUAAAGGGUCCGUAGGCGGUUAGAUAAGUCAGUGGUGAAAGCCCAUCGCUCAACGGUGGAACGGCCAUUGAUACUGUCUGACUUGAAUUAUUAGGAAGUAACUAGAAUAUGUAGUGUAGCGGUGAAAUGCUUAGAGAUUACAUGGAAUACCAAUUGCGAAGGCAGGUUACUACUAAUGGAUUGACGCUGAUGGACGAAAGCG
rnacentral:rRNA from 1 species